CGGCGAGUGAAGCGGCAAAAGCCCAAAAUGUAAAUCUUGUGCACUACGUGUACACGAAUUGUAAUCUAGAGAGAGUUCACUCAACGGGCGGGGACGCAGAAGUGACCACGAACGGUCCGCCAGAGAGGGUGAAAGCCCCGUAUGUGGUGUCCCUGCUUAACGAGUGGGUUUUCGAAGAGUCGGGUUGUUUUGUAUUGCAGCCCUAAGUGGGAGAUAAACUUCUUCUAAGGCUAAAUAUUAAUGGGAAACCGAUAGCGAACAAGUACUGUGAAGGAAAGAUGAAAAGAACUUUGAAAAGAGAGUCAAAAGACUUGAAAUCGUUGAGAAGGAAGGAGUAGAAAUUUAUUCUUCGGCGUAGGCCGGUGGUAGUCGCCUAACCAUUGCUGAUUGUGAGUACGUAAAAGGCUCCGGUUGGUACCUGGGGAAGUGGCUGCUUUGGUCUGCGUCGUGAGCCAAGAUGGGGUCGUGCGGCCACAAAGGCUUCUUACAAUUCGCUUUCUUCGGAGGGCAGUGUGGGUUUGUCGGUGGAAGCGCGGCCUGAGAAUGCU
rnacentral:rRNA from 1 species